rnacentral:lncRNA from 1 species
AAAACUCGGCCGGCCCCCGGCAGGGCAGGAUGGCUGUAGCACGCCGGAUUCCUACUGGAAAUCUCUUGGCUUACCUUGCGAAUUGUGCUUGCCCACCUUAGUGUCAGCAUUGUGCAGCACCCUGCAAGGACCUCGAGGCACCCCAAUGUGCUACAGCACCUGUCUGGGACCCUCUGCGCUGGCGGCGUCUGCAGGGGAGGGGUCUCCUCCCUUGCAAGCAGAGAGACAUCCGGUCACCGCCCUCCGCUGCCAGCCCAGCCCACCUAAAGCAGCACAGCAUGUCCCCAGAGGCAUUCAGCCAUCGCCUCCUUGGAGCUGAGUGGCGGGAGACACUCCCUUACCUGGCAGCAGCAGAAGCCUUUUCUCCCCGACGGGUUAGCUGCAUCUCCGCCUCCAGCGUCCAGGCCCCUCCAGUGAACAUCCCUGACCGGCACCAGUUCAAGCGUCAGCUCCCUUGCGUCACGUCCCGUCCUGGCCCUGAGCCGCGGGGCUCUGCGAAGGCAGGGAGGUGGCAUUACCGCGGCAGGAUCGGGACCGAAGAGGCUCAGCCGUUGAGCCAGCAGCUUCCUUCCUAUUUCCCGGCUGGGCAUGCAGAGCCACGGAGAGGUCGGGGCGAGGAAUUUCAAACACGGCGUCUGAUUUGGACCCGUGUUUCAGAGGCGCUGAGCACUUGCUGCUGCCAGCCAGGUCAAUGGAAGCAGCAGGGGCUCAGCCCCUGCGACCCCCCCGGUGCCGGGGCUCGGGCACCCAGAGAUAAAAGCACCCAGUUUUGCAACGGCUCUGGCUUCGAGGACAUCGUCGCCGCGCCUGCACGCGAUGGGGGCGAGGGCGCUCCCGUCAAGCGGCGGCUCCGCUCAGGUUGCCUCUGCAACCACGCCCGAGCCUCGGGCGCCUCCCGGAAGGGCACGAAGCGGGGUGACCGAGGUUGCCCCAGCACCCUCUCUGCCACGGCGGGUGGGGCGCGAGGCGGGCAGGUCGCAGGCACACCCGUCCUGGGCUGCGUUCGCAAAGUCAGGUCAAGGAAGAGCAGCCAGCGCCGGGAGGGCGACGUGUCAGGGGGUCCGGAAGCCCCGGGGCUGCCCGGGAGGGCGCCGUCUCUUGCAGGGGGGAGCGGCGGAGCCCCGGCAUUGCAGGAUCUCUGCCCCCCGAUGGUUUCUGGAGCCCGAUCGCUAUUUUUGAUCAUCCGGGGGACGCAACGCAGAGCUCUCCAACCCCGGAGGGCCCAGGGAAAGCGUGCCUUACAGCCAAGAGCAAGGGGGCAGCUGUGGGGUGAACCUGCGGCACUCCUGGCUGCAGGACCUAGUGUAAUCAGCCGGGAGAGGAAGGCUGGGGUGUGA